rnacentral:rRNA from 1 species
GACAGAGGAUGCAAGCGUUAUCCGGAAUUAUUGGGCGUAAAGAGCUCGUAGGCGGUUUGUCGCGUCUGCCGUGAAAGUCCGGGGCUCAACUCCGGAUCUGCGGUGGGUACGGGCAGACUAGAGUGAUGUAGGGGAGACUGGAAUUCCUGGUGUAGCGGUGAAAUGCGCAGAUAUCAGGAGGAACACCGGUGGCGAAGGCGGGUCUCCGGGCCGUAACUGACGCUGAGGAGCGAAAGCGUGGGGAGCGAACAGG